AGUAACACGUGGAUAACCUACCUAUAAGACUGGGAUAACUUCGGGAAACCGGAGCUAAUACCGGAUAAUAUUUUGAACCGCAUGGUUCAAAAGUGAAAGACUGUCUUGCUGUCACUUAUAGAUGGAUCCGCGCUGCAUUAGCUAGUUGGUAAGGUAACGGCUUACCAAGGCAACGAUGCAUAGCCGACCUGAGAGGGUGAUCGGCCACACUGGAACUGAGACACGGUCCAG
rnacentral:rRNA from 1 species